rnacentral:lncRNA from 1 species
UGUCACAUAGAAUAGACGGAGAAGCUACUGCUAAAGGACAGUGGCCAUUCUGUGUGGGAAUGGGGCAAGGGUGGGGCUCAAGUCCCAUCUUGUCUUAUGUAGGACUCAGAGGUGCUCCAGAUGACUAUGGGCUGACAGGUGCACCCUCUGCAUGCACACUUGGGAAUCGUAUGACCCUUACAACUGGAUGAGAUUUAGAGUCACCAAGGAAACAGACCUUGAGCUUGUCUGUGAGAGAUUAACUAGAUUGGAUUAAUUAAGACUGGCUGGACAGCAAGACUCUUGAGAGCCCCUGUUUCUGCUGACCCAUCUAUGGAAUCACAGGCAGGGGUGGCUUUUAUGUGGGUCCUGGGAUCCAAACCCAGUUUCUGCAGCACCUUAUGAAACCUCAUUGUGAAUAUUGGACGAACUUCAGGACGGCGCGAUGCCAUUAUGUCAAAGACUGGCCCACCGCUGCCAGCAGCUUUCAAAGGUUUGGGGGUCUGCAGAGUCCCUGAAGAAUUUUGGCUUGAAGCCCUCUUUCUCCUUCGUUUCUGAAUCCAAUGGUAGAUUAGGCGAAAUGGAAUCCGUAUGGUUCUGAUUCAUUUACACUUAACUCAUCAAAAUGUUCCUUUUUAUGAGCUAUUUGAUGUCCAGAAAGCCUUUUGAGUAGAUUUUAUAAGCCUUUUAAAGACUUUUCUCUUAGAAACAGGCGGUUGCAUUUUGCCAAGAAUAAACAAACUUGAACCUCAGAAGUGCAUCGCUUGCCAAGGAUCCCGGGGCCAGAGGACAAGCUUACGAAGGCACCCUGUGCUCGCUCCUUUUCCAGUCCCUCCUCCCUUUACUGCUCUGGGUCCCACUUCCCUUCAGUCUCUUUGCAGAGGUUACUAUUGCCUUAUUGCCUUCGGUGAACUUUGAUGCCCCUCCCCCUCUCCCUCCUCCCACCCAGCAUGCCCUGUGGCAUUGCUCUCAUCAGAGGGGACCAUGGCCCCAGAGUGCUCCCCUCUGUAGCUGUUCUGUGUCCUGCCUGGGAACCUUUGAACAUGGACCUGAAAGAGAUGCGGGCAGAGCCCUCUGCCCUCCAGCUGAACACUCUCCCCUGGUCAUGUACAAAAGUCCCUUGUGACGUGUGCAUGAUCAGGUAGGGGAGACCUUCAGAUCCUCUUGUGUUCCAUGUUAGGAAACCGAGGCAGGAGGGUCUAUGCGAUUGCCUAAGACCAUCUCACUCAUUGAGGGCAAACUCCAAAGACAUUUGCUUCAUUUUCUUUGCUUCCCUCGCCUCCUAAGAAUGACCCAGGAGGUCAUGGAUGGAGACUCGCUUUGGGCUAAGAUAUUUCAUGGAAAGGAAAACUUGGAAAGCAAAUCAAGGACAAAUAUGAGAUUCCCAGCUUAUCACCACACCAAGGCUCAGUGGCGAUAUUUUCAGUGGACGAAAAAGCUAAGCUGAGAUACUGAACUCAAUUCCACCUGGCUGUCCAGUUAAGACACUGAAAGAUGUGAGAAAGGUGUGUAUUGGGGCCCGGGGGUAGUAUGGCUCAGUAGGCAGAGUCUUUGCUUAUCUUGCAUGAGAUCCUGGGUUCCAACCCCAGCACAGCAUAAAAUGGGGUGGUGGUGGCUCAGAUCUGCGUUCCUGGGACGUGGAAAGUGGAAGACUGGGGAACUGGAAGAUCAAGAUUAUCCUCAGAUACAGAGAGAAUUUGAGGCUGGUUUGAGCUACUCAACAAACAGAUAGACACAAACAUACUUGCACACACACACACACACACACACACACACACCACUCACUCUCACACACACAUACACUCACACACACUCUCAAAUAUACAUGCACACACUCACUCUCUCACACACACAUACUCAUACACUUUCACACACUCACACAAACUCUCAUACUCACACAGUCUCACACUUACACACUCUCACACACACACUCAUACACACAUACUUACAUAUUCUUACACACACUCCCUCACACUCACACUCAUACACACUUUCACACACUCAUACAUCACACUCUUUCACACACUCACACAAACUCUCAUACUCACACACACUCAUAGACACUCUUACACUCACUCACACACUCAUGCACACUCAUAUACACAUACACACACACUCUCACAUAUUCACACACAGGGCAGAGAGAGCGCUGCCCGCU